GGUUAAUAUUCCUGCACCCGCUGUGAAGGUUGAACUGCAGAGGACGCCGUGCUAUGAGAGGUCGGGGUGCUAGAUGUCCCCGUGCCGCAAGGCCGACAGCAUUGUUCUGGAAGCCUCUUUGACACAUGGCCAACGAAAAGCCCUGCAGGGACGACACAUCGGCCCGUACCGUAAUCCGACACAGGUGAGCGAGGUGAGUAUCCAAAGGCGUUCGGGAGAACCCUCGUGAAGGAACUCGGCAAAUUCGACCCCGUAACUUCGGGAUAAGGGGUGCUCACCGCAAGGUGAGCCGCAGAGAAUCGGCUCUAGCGACUGUUUAUACAAAAACACAGGACGCUGCGAAUUCGCAAGAAGAUGUAUAGCGUCUGACGCCUGCUCGGUGUCGGUAGGUUAAGGAAGGUGGUCAGCGAAAGCGAAGCUACCGA
rnacentral:rRNA from 1 species